rnacentral:rRNA from 1 species
UACGAAGGGGGCUAGCGUUGUUCGGAAUCACUGGGCGUAAAGCGCGCGUAGGCGGUUAUCCAAGUCGGAUGUGAAAGCCCUCGGCUUAACUGAGGAAGUGCACCCGAAACUGGAUAGCUAGAGUACGAAAGAGGGUCGCGGAAUUCCCGGUGUAGAGGUGAAAUUCGUAGAUAUCGGGAGGAACACCGGUGGCGAAGGCGGCGACCUGGGUCGAGACUGACGCUGAGGCGCGAAAGCGUGGGGAGCAAACAGG